GAUGAACGCUGGCGGCGUGCCUAAUACAUGCAAGUCGAGCGAACAGAUGAGGAGCUUGCUCCUCUGACGUUAGCGGCGGACGGGUGAGUAACACGUGGAUAACCUACCUAUAAGACUGGGAUAACUUCGGGAAACCGGAGCUAAUACCGGAUAAUAUAUUGAACCGCAUGGUUCAAUAGUGAAAGACGGUUUUGCUGUCACUUAUAGAUGGAUCCGCGCCGCAUUAGCUAGUUGGUAAGGUAACGGCUUACCAAGGCAACGAUGCGUAGCCGACCUGAGAGGGUGAUCGGCCACACUGGAACUGAGACACGGUCCAGACUCCUACGGGAGGCAGAAGUAGGGAAUCUUCCGCAAUGGGCGAAAGCCUGACGGAGCAACGCCGCGUGAGUGAUGAAGGUCUUCGGAUCGUAAAACUCUGUUAUUAGGGAAGAACAAAUGUGUAAGUAACUAUGCACGUCUUGACGGUACCUAAUCAGAAAGCCACGGCUAACUACGU
rnacentral:rRNA from 1 species